UUGUUUAUCGCACCAUUCUCUGUAAACUCUAGAGACUUUAGUGCGUAAAAAUCCCAGGAGGGCAGCUGUUUCUGAGAUGCUGGAACCACCAUGUGUGGCACCAACAAUCAUCCCACGAUCAAAGUUGCUUAGAUUACGGCGCUUGCCCGUUCUGAUGUUUAGUCGAACAUCAACUAAAGCGCUCUACUCUAUAUACUCUAUAUAUUGAGUUGCAGGCAGUCACAUGAUUCACUGUUUGAAGGAGCAGGCUAUUUGCGUUAACAUGCAGGUGUACCUAAUAAAGUAAUUGCUAUUCCAAUACUGCCAACUCGUUACUGAUGAUUGAUUUCACAUUGUGGUACGAGAAUAUAGGGAAAUGAGUGGUAUCCACCUACAACAACAUAGCGAUAACACGGAGCCGGCAGGUGAUCCAGGUCACAAUUGAGGUCAAGCAGUGGGAGGACGUGGUCGUCAAAGGAAUGGCAGGGGACAAGCACCUCUUCUGAGAGGUGGUCGUGGGCCUCGUUUAAGAGAUGUGUGGGAAUGUGGUAGAGGACAAGGCAGCGGCAGCAAUGAAAUCCGAGCAACAGUUGUAGACCAUGUUGUAAAUCCUGGCAGGACAAUGCUUGAGGCAGCUACAAUGAUUCAACCAAACCUCAGAAGAUCAACCGUGGCCUCAAUCAUCAGAACUUUCCGCAAUGAGAACCGAAUUGCGACUAGGCCAAAUAGGUGAGGCAGAGGCAAAAUUCUGACUGACCAACAAGAGUAGGCUGUGCUCAAUUUGGUUCGGGACAGAAAUGAUAUUCGCCUUACAUAAAUUCGGCAGCACAUCUUGGACAAUGAGGACUUGGCAAACUUAUGGCUUCCACAUUGUUGAACAACUAUUGCACGCAUGCUGAAAAGGCACCAGGAGUCUCUAAAACAACUAUACCAUGUGCCUUUUGAAAGAAAUGCAGACAGAGUGAAGCAACUGAGGACUGAAGGGUGAUGGAGCUGGAUGCUGAUGAAAAGCAUCCCAAAUUCCUCUUUUUGGAUGAGGCAGGCUUCAACCUGGCCAAGACGAGGAGAGGUCGGAAUUUCAUUGGCCAGCAGGCAACCAUCCAAGUACCUGGACAGCGUGGGGCCAACAUCACCAUGUGUGCGGCUAUAUCGGAAGAUAUAUUGGAUCAUAUAAUGCAGCUCUCCUUGUAACCUUCCUUGAUGAGCUAAAUCAGGUCUGUAGAGUUGAUGGCGUGACCUAUGUCAUU